rnacentral:lncRNA from 1 species
GGGAAAAAUUAUUUUCACUAACUUUAAGACUCCAGAGACACUUUUCUCAGCCAUGACCAGUAAUGUUUUUAAAAGAUUUUGGAAGGAAUAGCUCCUCACUAUACCACCAGUUCGUGAUUUUAAGGGAGGAGACAACCCCUCAUACUGUCUUAUGCCCAAUUUCUGCCUCCAAAGAAAGAAGUAAAAUCUAAAAGGCAGAAAUGAAAUCCACAAGCAGACAGCCUGGCCCCACAUCCUGGGCCUGGUAGUUAAAGAUUGACCCAUGACCUAAUCGGUUAUGUUAUCUAUAGAUUACAGACAUUGUAUAGAAAAGUACCAUGAAAAUCCCUGUCCUGUCCUGUUCCAUUCUAAUUACCGGUGCAGGCAGCCCCGAGUCACGUACCCCCUGUUUGCUCCAUCGAUCACGACCCUCUCAUGCGGACCCCCUUAGAGUUGUGAGCCCUUAAAGGGACAGGAAUUGCUCACUCGGGGAGCUCGGUUUUUGGAGACAUGAGUCUUGCUGAAGCUCCUGGCUGAAUAAAGCCCUUUCUUCUUUAA